UGCGUAGGCGGAAUAUUAAGUCAGUGGUGAAAUCCUGCGGCUCAACCGUAGAACUACCAUUGAUACUGAUAUUCUUGAAUGUAGCUGAGGUAGGCGGAAUGUGUAAUGUAGCGGUGAAAUGCUUAGAUAUUACACAGAACACCGAUUGCGAAGGCAGCUUACUAAACUAUGAUUGACGCUGAGGCACGAAAGCGUGGGGAGCGAACAGGAUUAGAUACCCUGGUAGUCC
rnacentral:rRNA from 1 species